rnacentral:tRNA from 1 species
GGAAAGGUGGCAGAGUGGUUGAAUGCGGCGGUCUCGAAAACCGUUGUUCCGAAUUUCGGAACCGGGGGUUCGAAUCCCCCCCUUUCCGCAA